UACAGAAAAAGAGAGAACCCCUAGUCAAAUGCUCUGCUGUUAAGAACUCCCUGGAGGGACGCACACUUGCCACAGUGGACCAGCAGGAGCUAGCUUGGUCAGACACUUCCUUGUCGAACUACUCAGAUGACAGAGCAAGCUGCUUCUCUGGCUCCUGUGUCUACAGAAGAAGAGCAGUGACAUUGAUCCCUGGGUACCUGAGAAUCCCUGGAGAGACCUCAGACCUAAAACAUCAGAAGACUCUUGAGAAGCCGUGACUGGCCAUUCCCUCUUCUUCAGGGCUUCUUGCAUAGUUUCCUCUUUGCUAAAGAAAAAGCAUUUUCUAGAGAACAUUAUGCUGCUCAGCUGCUGUCUGCUCCACCUCCUCUCUCCUUCUGAGACCUGGUAACAUGUCUGUUAGACUCCUGGCAUUGACAUACUGGUAAGUUUGGAUUGAUCUGUUUUUAUCCUGAGUUCCUAUCCAUGUAUUUUCAAAUGUGCCCAUCCUUCAGCAUUGCCCAUUGUGUCUUAAGUCUCUUCAGUGUGUUUUAUAAUUUCAGUUGUUAAGUUUUAUCUAGAGAUUCUCCUGAUUCCUUCUCAAUUGCUGUUCUCCAUACUCUUCAUUGUUGACUCUCAAGUUUCAUUUUCUCCUGUAUUUUUCCUCAAAUGCACAAAAAUUUGUAUGUCUUGUUCCCAGUUCCAGUUCUAGAGAUUGAAAACCAUUUUGUCGGUGUUUUUUCCUCAUGGUGACCCCCACCUUCCUUUGUAUGUCUCAUGUUUUCUAAUGGUGUUAGAAACACUACCUACGGAUGCAUAUUAGGUAUGAAACACACCCAUGUUUUAUCUUACAUUUACUUGUUCUUGGAGACUGUGAGCUCUUUUCUGGGUCUAAUCAAUAAGAGGAAGAAAUGGCUACUCAGGUAUUACCGAAAGCCAUGCUGAAGGAAGGCUGCACACAUUCUUGCCUUGUCAAGAGUAGGCACAGCUGUUCUGGGGCCAGCCUCAGCAGUCCUCGCCUGCCCUGAAGCUGCAGUGGAGGGACUCUCUGCACCAAGACCGGGCUCAGCACUGAUGGGUGCAUCAACUCACUUCAGAUGCAUGUCUGACCCAGGAGGCUGGAUUCAGGCCCUCAAUUCCAAGAUAAGAUAGACAGCAAAUUCUACUUCUCAACUCCCACGUCACCGCCUUUUAAAAAAAUAUAUAAAAUUGGUGUUGUACCAAGGAUAAUUUUCAAAAUAAACAAGUUAUUAUUUCCCUUGGUGAUUUUCCAGCCCGCACCGCCCCGAACGUGUCCAAAGCCGCUAAUAGCCUGGAUGAGCUCACCCUGACCUCGGAGAGUCUACUCCUGCUGACAUGCUUUCUUCUCCAGCUCCCAUGACUGAGAGGCCCGGGUUUUGUCCCCAGGAGAGUCCAUGGCAUCUGAAGGCCUCCUUCUCCUCUUCUUCCUCCUCAUGUAGCUCAGGCUGGGUUCAAAUUCACUAUACAGCCAAAGGUGACCUUGAAUUUCUGACCCUUGC